rnacentral:rRNA from 1 species
CCUACGGGUGGCAGCAGUGGGGGAUAUUGCACAAUGGGGGAAACCCUGAUGCAGCGACGCCGCGUGAGUGAAGAAGUAUUUCGGUAUGUAAAGCUCUAUCAGCAGGGAAGAAAAUGACAGUACCUGCCCAAGAAGCCCCGGCUAACUACGUGCCAGCAGCCGCGGGAAUACGUAGGGGGCAAGCGUUAUCCGGGUUUACUGGGUGUAAAGGGAGCGGAGACGGGGAUGUAAGUCGGGAGUGAAAGCCCGGGGCCCAACCCCGGGAAUGCUUUGGAAACUGUGUAACUGGAGUACAGGAGGGGCAGGCGGAAUUCCUGGUGUAGCGGUGAAAUGCGUAGAUAUCAGGAGGAACAUCAGUGGCGUAAGCGCUUUACUGGGCCGUAAUUGACACUGAGGAACGAAAGCCGGGGUAGCAAAUGGGAUUAGAUACCCGGGUAGUC